UACAGAGGGUGCUAGCGUUGUCCGGAGUUAUUGGGCGUAAAGCGCGCGCAGGCGGCCUCGCGCGCCCGACGUGAAAGCCCCCGGCUUAACCGGGGAGGGUCGUUGGGGACGGCGGGGCUUGAGGGCGGGAGAGGGUGGUGGAAUUCCCGGUGUAGUGGUGAAAUGCGUAGAGAUCGGGAGGAACACCCGUGGCGAAGGCGGCCACCUGGGCCGACCCUGACGCUGAGGCGCGAAGGCGUGGGGAGCGAACGGG
rnacentral:rRNA from 1 species